AAAUGUUGUAUAUAAGUUUGAUUGUAAAACCUGCCCUGCAACAUAUAUUGGCGAGACGAAACGAUCUUUACUAACUCGCAUAAACGAACAUAAAAAAGUGAAUGACAACUCUGUAGUGUACCGACAUUGUAUCAAUUUCAAUCAUGAUUUUGAUUGGGAAAAUGUGAAGGUUUUGGACAAUGAAAAAAAUUUUAUAAAACGACGAAUAUCGGAAAUGAUCCACAUAAAAACAAAUCAUUCCACUAUUAACAGAAAAGAAGAUAUUCUCACUCUAAAUAAAACGUUCUUUCCUCUUUUCAGACGUAUAGACUCAUGUCCAUAAUGACAAAACAAUAACAUAUCUUGCUGACCACCUGUGUUUACAUAUCAGUUCAUUGACUCUUUUAGUUUUCAUAGUUUUGACUUUCUUAUCUCAGUUUCUAAUUUUAUUUCAGUUGACACUGAGUCGUUGUAGAGGAAUGUCUCCUUUUCUUCUAUAUAAUUAUAAAUUUAAUCUCUUGUGUGGAAUAUGUGUCGUGUUUUGUUUUUUAAUUUAUUUAUUUAUUUAUUUAAUUUUUAUUCUUCAUGACGAACUAAAAUAGUGUUUUUAUGUUUUAAUGAAUUAGCCUGAUGAGGUUGGCAAACCUUAGCCAACGAAACGUCGCAUUACUGACGAAA